UGAGCUAUAAAAUAGGGCCGCAUCAUGUUGCCAAGCAGUUGCUUAUCUUCUCACCACUUAGCAUCAUAAUAUGAGAUAUUCUUCAACCCCUAUUUUCUAUGCGAUUUUGAUAGUUUUUCAACAAGAUAGCUUGGUGCUUUUUCUUUUAUUUCAGUUGGAAGAUUAAUAGACCUAAUGACAAGUUAAAUGGAUGAACAUGAUUAUAGUGACAUAUAAAAGCCAUAGUUACAAGUAUAUAAUCAUGAAGACCAAGCAAAAUUACUUUUAACUUUAUUGAACUUCAAUGGCAGAGAAAAAGUUUAUAUAUAAACUUAGAACCAUUACAGACCUCCUUCAUCACAUCUUGAAAGUUAUAGUGGAGAAGUAUUUGAAGACAGUGAACAAGAUUUCACACAAAUAUCUCCAAUGUAUGUUCUUAAAAUUUUACACAUUUUUUAAAUAUUUUCCAACUUUCCAUAUACUGUAUCCUGAUUAUUUAUUCUAUUAACAUUGAAUACUAUAUAAUUUUAACUAUAGUUGUAGGAAUCUGUGUAAGGCUUCUGUAUCACCAAAUAUCUAGGUUUCGUUACACUAUAUUUAUACACAUAUACAACUAUAUUUAUAAAUUACAAUUGUAAAGAAUAUUCUUAAAUUUGGAGUCGGUAAGUAUAAACAAUUAAAAAUGCAAUAAAAAAAUGACAUCUCACUAAUUUUAUACAAU
rnacentral:misc_RNA from 1 species